rnacentral:rRNA from 1 species
CACUAUCGUUAACUGAAUACAUAGGUUAACGAGGCGAACCGGGGGAACUGAAACAUCUAAGUACCCCGAGGAAAAGAAAUCAACCGAGAUUCCCCCAGUAGCGGCGAGCGAACGGGGAGCAGCCCAGAGUCUGAAUCAGCUUGUGUGUUAGUGGAACGGUCUGGAAAGUCCGACGGUACAGGGUGAUAGUCCCGUACACCAAAAUGCACAGGUUGUGAACUCGAAGAGUAGGGCGGGACACGUGGUAUCCUGUCUGAAUAUGGGGGGACCAUCCUCCAAGGCUAAAUACUCCUGACUGACCGAUAGUGAACCAGUACCGUGAGGGAAAGGCGAAAAGAACCCCGGCGAGGGGAGUGAAAAAGAACCUGAAACCGUGUACGUACAAGCAGUGGGAGCACCUUCGGGUGUGACUGCGUACCUUUUGUAUAAUGGGUCAGCGACUUAUAUUCUGUAGCAAGGUUAACCGUAUAGGGGAGCCGCAGGGAAACCGAGUCUUAACUGGGCGUUAAGUUGCAGGGUAUAGACCCGAAACCCGGUGAUCUAGCCAUGGGCAGGUUGAAGGUUGGGUAACACUAACUGGAGGACCGAACCGACUAAUGUUGAAAAAUUAGCGGAUGACUUGUGGCUGGGGGUGAAAGGCCAAUCAAACCGGGAGAUAGCUGGUUCUCCCCGAAAGCUAUUUAGGUAGCGCCUCGUGAACUCAUCUUCGGGGGUAGAGCACUGUUUCGGCUAGGGGGUCAUCCCGACUUACCAACCCGAUGCAAACUACGAAUACCGAAGAAUGUUAUCACGGGAGACACACGGCGGGUGCUAACGUCCGUCGUGAAGAGGGAAACAACCCAGACCGCCAGCUAAGGUCCCAAAGUCAUGGUUAAGUGGGAAACGAUGUGGGAAGGCACAGACAGCCAGGAUGUUGGCUUAGAAGCAGCCAUCAUUUAAAGAAAGCGUAAUAGCUCACUGGUCGAGUCGGCCUGCGCGGAAGAUGUAACGGGGCUAAACCAUGCACCGAAGCUGCGGCAGCGACACUAUGUGUUGUUGGGUAGGGGAGCGUUCUGUAAGCCUGCGAAGGUGNUGCUGGAGGUAUCAGAAGUGCGAAUGCUGACAUAAGUAACGAUAAAGCGGGUGAAAAGCCCGCUCGCCGGAAGACCAAGGGUUCCUGUCCAACGUUAAUCGGGGCAGGGUGAGUCGACCCCUAAGGCGAGGCCGAAAGGCGUAGUCGAUGGGAAACAGGUUAAUAUUCCUGUACUUGGUGUUACUGCGAAGGGGGGACGGAGAAGGCUAUGUUAGCCGGGCGACGGUUGUCCCGGUUUAAGCAUGUAGGCUGAUUAUCCAGGCAAAUCCGGAUAAUCAAGGCUGAGGUGUGAUGACGAGGCACUACGGUGCUGAAGUAACAAAUGCCCUGCUUCCAGGAAAAGCCUCUAAGCAUCAGGUAACAUCAAAUCGUACCCCAAACCGACACAGGUGGUCAGGUAGAGAAUACCAAGGCGCUUGAGAGAACUCGGGUGAAGGAACUAGGCAAAAUGGUGCCGUAACUUCGGGAGAAGGCACGCUGGUGUGUAGGUGAAGCCCCUGCGGGUGGAGCUGAGACCAGUCGAAGAUACCAGCUGGCUGCAACUGUUUAUUAAAAACACAGCACUGUGCAAACACGAAAGUGGACGUAUACGGUGUGACGCCUGCCCGGUGCCGGAAGGUUAAUUGAUGGGGUUAUCCGUAAGGAGAAGCUCUUGAUCGAAGCCCCGGUAAACGGCGGCCGUAACUAUAACGGUCCUAAGGUAGCGAAAUUCCUUGUCGGGUAAGUUCCGACCUGCACGAAUGGCGUAAUGAUGGCCAGGCUGUCUCCACCCGAGACUCAGUGAAAUUGAACUCGCUGUGAAGAUGCAGUGUACCCGCGGCAAGACGGAAAGACCCCGUGAACCUUUACUAUAGCUUGACACUGAACAUUGAGCCUUGAUGUGUAGGAUAGGUGGGAGGCUUUGAAGCGUGGACGCCAGUCUGCGUGGAGCCAACCUUGAAAUACCACCCUUUAAUGUUUGAUGUUCUAACGUUGGCCCCUGACCGGGGUUGCGGACAGUGUCUGGUGGGUAGUUUGACUGGGGCGGUCUCCUCCCAAAGCGUAACGGAGGAGCACGAAGGUUAGCUAAUCCUGGUCGGACAUCAGGAGGUUAGUGCAAUGGCAUAAGCUAGCUUGACUGCGAGCGUGACGGCGCGAGCAGGUGCGAAAGCAGGUCAUAGUGAUCCGGUGGUUCUGAAUGGAAGGGCCAUCGCUCAACGGAUAAAAGGUACUCCGGGGAUAACAGGCUGAUACCGCCCAAGAGUUCAUAUCGACGGCGGUGUUUGGCACCUCGAUGUCGGCUCAUCACAUCCUGGGGCUGAAGUAGGUCCCAAGGGUAUGGCUGUUCGCCAUUUAAAGUGGUACGCGAGCUGGGUUUAGAACGUCGUGAGACAGUUCGGUCCCUAUCUGCCGUGGGCGCUGGAGAAUUGAGGGGGGCUGCUCCUAGUACGAGAGGACCGGAGUGGACGCAUCACUGGUGUUCGGGUUGUCAUGCCAAUGGCACUGCCCGGUAGCUAAAUGCGGAAGAGAUAAGUGCUGAAAGCAUCUAAGCACGAAACUUGCCCCGAGAUGAGUUCUCCCUGAGACUUUAAGUCUCCUGAAGGAACGUUGAAGACGACGACGUUGAUAGGCCGGGUGUGUAAGCGCAGCGAUGCGUUGAGCUAACCGGUACUAAUGAACCGUGAGGCUUAACCUU